CCCUUAUGACCUGGGCUACACACGUGCUACAAUGGUUGGUACAACGAGUUGCGAGUCGGUGACGGCGAGCUAAUCUCUUAAAGCCAAUCUCAGUUCGGAUUGUAGGCUGCAACUCGCCUACAUGAAGUCGGAAUCGCUAGUAAUCGCGGAUCAGCACGCCGCGGUGAAUACGUUCCCGGGCCUU
rnacentral:rRNA from 1 species